UCCCAACUGAACAUCUGACCCGAAGCCAAACCCUGUCGUCCCUAACCAUUCCCCCUGAUCUGAUCCCGCGCCGCCGCGGCCUUCCCCUCCACCAGCGUGCCGCCGCGGCCUCCCCCUUCACCAGGGCGCCGCCCCGGCCUCCCCCUCCACCGUCGCGGCCGCCCCUGCCACCUCCCGCCGUGGCCGCCGCCCCAGCUCCAGCCGCGACCGCCGCCCCCACGUCCACCCGGGCCACUGCCCUACGCGCCAACGACCCCUCCCCCCGCCGCCGCGCCACGGGUCCACUUCGCCACGAGCUCCAGCGUCGACCAUCCCGCCGCAGCUCGUGAUCCUCUCUUCCAUCAGCUCCACUUCACUGGAACCGUAAGUCCACAGGAGUAUGCGUAGCAGGUUCACCAGAUCCUCCUAACAUCUUCUUCCUUCUCCAAAAAUAUUUUCUUUUAUGUUCAAUUCUUCGUCAUAUGUUCAUUUCCUAUUACCUGAGUGCCUUUCGCUUGAAUUCUUGCUGAUGCUGGCUGUAGCUUGAAACGGCUUCUCCUGCGUGCCUACGUGUGUGAUUUUCUUCAGUCCAAAAGGGAGAAAUAUUGUCAGUUCAUGAAUAAAGAAUUUUUGUACUAAACUUAACAUUAGUUUGGUGUGCACUCGGUUGUCAGUCCUUGAAAAAGCGCAGAAUAGUUGGUGCCUGUGAAAAAAUAUCGUCAGUACAAGUUUCAAUUUCUGUAAGUUUAGAUAUAUCACCUGAAUAAGUAAUGAUUUGCGGCGAGUUUCUUUGAUGUCAAUUCUGAUCCAAGAGCUGGUAGUGCCUCGUCUCUUCACCACAUAGAUUGCAGCUUUCUAUAGGCGGAGUCCAAUUGUGCAGCCGGCAAAUGCUCUGUGCAUUACGCUCUAGUAUUUUACCCACUUGAAUUAUAGUCCCUAGAGUCCUUAUGUGAUCACCAGACUAGCACAUUAUACAGGGCACUGCGUAUUCACUGCUUUUUCUCUUUUCAGCAUUGUACUCCUUGCAUUUUAAUUGGCACAUCAUUUUCCAUAUCUAGGAUGAUACAUCAACUUAGUGGUUAUGCAUACACCCACUAUCGGCAAACUUGUGAAUCGACCACCCGGGCCAUACGUUGAAAUCAGUGUUUAUUUGUAAUAAUUAGUUUAUGUCCAUUCAGAUUUUGUAGUCAACAUUAUGAAUUUCUAAAGCAUGAAAAUGCAUCACCCCCUGAGUAAUUAAUUUAAGUAAACUGGAGAGUCCAUUGAGUGGUUUUUAAUUUUGGCAAACACGAUGCCCCUGCAAUUGUUUGACCAUAUUCAGGUUCUUCUCUCCAUUAUGGCCCCCUCUUCAUAUCAGCAAGCAUCUCCUCUUGCAGCAGGCAUCUCCUUGCCCACCACAUUGGCUGGAGCAUGCCUGUUCUUAACUUUGUUUGAUUUUGUCAUGAUUUAUAUAAAAGCCAGUAGCUGUGCUAGUACUUAACUACUUAUGUUACAACAGGCCAUUGACAAAAAAGCUACAAAAAUCACUUUUUCUUAUUGCAAAAAUUUGUGAAUUUGCUCAGUUCAACAUGUACUGUAUCAUCAAACAACUCAUAUGCAUUUUGAUAUGCAUAAACCUAUACAAUUUCGUGUGUCAGUUCAGCUAAGAUCAACCUAUAUGCAAAAUUUUCAGUAAAUGUUUAGCAGGAUCUCUAUGCUAUUGGUUUCUUCAGUUUACUUGCAAGUUCUAGUAAAAAAAGUUGCAUACACAUCCUAGCCACUGCUCACCUCUGCCGCGCCCACCUGUAUUCCUCCGGCGGAGCAGAUGGCGCGGAUCAGGAGGUGUGUGAGAAAUGGUGGCGCUGGCGUGGUGGGGCCGCGAGGCUCGCCGUGGUGGAGCUCAUCCGCCUCUAGCUGUCGAUGGCAGUUGUGGGAAGCCCUGGUCGCCGUCGGGUGGCACCGUCUGCACGGCCUCUAGCAGUUCGACAAGUGCGCCUCCCUUAGUUCUAGGAUGACGAGCUAGGCAGCCGCCCUCUUUGUGACCUGCUAAUUUCCCCCUUGCACUAGCGGCCUGAUGAUGCGGGAGCCGCCCUCUUCACUCCAGCGGGCUUCUCGUACCGCCUAUGCUGCUAGUAAUGUUGCAGUGACAGAGAACUUGGUGCUGAGGAAUGGAGCGCAAGUACGGAUGGUGCUUCCGUAAUCUUAGGCGAGCUUGCGAAUCUGUAGCACCCUGGUGAUUUUAGUUGUGCUAUUAGUCAUGGAGUGAACAUGGACAGAUGAAUGUGUUGCUAAACAGGGCUUCUGAAUUUGCAUUAUCACCAUGCUUUUUCCAUUCGUAUUCAGGUUGCAAAAAUGUUCUUGUAUGAGUACAAGCUAGUCGAUCGAUCUAUCCAGUGGAUUCAGUCCAGAUGCUAGCUUAUUCUUGGGAAGUCUUGAUUUGGAGAAAAAAUCAUGUUGACUAGCUGUUCUUAUGCCUCAAAGCAGAGACUUUAUUUUACAUUUUGAUAUCUAAUGUUGGUUUAUAA